rnacentral:rRNA from 1 species
UACGGAGGGUGCGAGCGUUGUCCGGAAUCAUUGGGCGUAAAGGGCGCGUAGGUGGCUCGCCAAGCGGGCGGUGAAAGCCUGGGGCUCAACCCCGGGUCGGCCGUGCGAACUGGCGAGCUGGAGCACUGUAGAGGCAGGCGGAAUUCCGGGUGUAGCGGUGGAAUGCGUAGAGAUCCGGAGGAACACCGGUGGCGAAGGCGGCAUCCUGGACCGGCAUUGACGCUGAGGAGCGAAAGCCAGGGGAGCAAACGGG